rnacentral:rRNA from 1 species
GACGAACGCUGGCGGCGUGCUUAACACAUGCAAGUCGAACGGAAAGGCCCUGCUUUUGUGGGGUGCUCGAGUGGCGAACGGGUGAGUAACACGUGAGUAACCUGCCCUUGACUUUGGGAUAACUUCAGGAAACUGGGGCUAAUACCGGAUAGGAGCUCCUGCUGCAUGGUGGGGGUUGGAAAGUUUCGGCGGUUGGGGAUGGACUCGCGGCUUAUCAGCUUGUUGGUGGGGUAGUGGCUUACCAAGGCUUUGACGGGUAGCCGGCCUGAGAGGGUGACCGGCCACAUUGGGACUGAGAUACGGCCCGACUCCUACGGGAGGCAGCAGUGGGGAAUAUUGCACAAUGGGCGGAAGCCUGAUGCAGCAACGCCGCGUGCGGGAUGACGGCCUUCGGGUUGUAAACCGCUUUCGCCUGUGACGAAGCGUGAGUGACGGUAAUGGGUAAAGAAGCACCGGCUAACUACGUG